UUUAAACCACGGCAUAUGCAACUGUACAUUUAGGAUGCAUUGAGCUGUUUUUAAAGUAGCCAGGCAUGAGAACAUGGACUAUUACAAACUGCAUAGUUAAAAACCAAUGCACAAACCACUAAAACAUCGUUUUGGAGCUUUUCAGGUCUUAAGAACACUAGUUUAAACCACGGCAUAUGCAAGUGUACCAUAUGCAACUGUACUGGUUUAAACUAGUGUUCUUAUGACCUGAAAAGCUCCAAAACGAUGUUUUAGUGUUUCUGCAUUGGUUUCCACCGGAACAGCCUCUAAUGGUCAUGUUCUGAUGCCAGGAUACUGUCAAACAGGUCAAUACACCCUAAAAGCAUAGUUGCAUAUGCCGUGGUUUAAACUAAUUUUCUU
rnacentral:lncRNA from 1 species